rnacentral:misc_RNA from 1 species
CGCUCUUUGUUUAUUAUUAAUAUGUAUAGAGAGUCGGACCUGCCCAGUGACGUAGUGUUAAACGGCCGCGGUACUCUGACCGUGCAAAGGUAGCAUAAUCAUUUGCCUUUUAAUUGGAGGCUUGUAUGAAUGGUUUGACGAGAGCUGUGCUGUCUCCUUUAAAAUAUUUAGAAAUUAAUUUGUAAGUGAAGAAGCUUACAUAUAUUUGAGGGACAAGAAGACCCUGUUGAGUUUUAGUGAAGGGGAAACUGAUUUAUAUUUUUUGAGACAAUAAGAAUUAUAUAUGUUAUAAGUUAGGGUUUAUUUUUAAUCUUUAGUUGGGGCGACUGAGGAACAUUGAAAGCUUCCUUUAUAAUAAUGAUUAUGAUUGGCAGGUUAACUUGAUCCAGUUUUUUUGAUCAAAGGAAAAAAUUACCACAGGGAUAACAGCGUAAUCUUUUUGGAGAGUUCUUAUCGAAGGAAAGGUUUGCGACCUCGAUGUUGGACUAAGAUAUCCUAAAGGUGUAAAAGCUUUUAAAGGUUGGUCUGUUCGACCAUUAAAAUCUU